UUUCCUGGUUGAUCCCGCCGGGACCCCACUGCUAUCGAGGUGAGACUUAGACAGGUCCAGUCGAACGACUCGGACUAUGGCGAGAAGUGGCAAACUGCUCAGUAACACGUAGCUAACCUACCCUCAGGACGGAGACAACCCCGGGAAACUGGGGUUAAUCCUGAUAGGCGUGGAUUCCUGGAAUGGUGUCACGCCGAAACGUUAACACACCAUGUUUGUGUACACGCCUGAGGAUGGGGCUGCGGCCGAUCAGGCAGUUGGUGAGGUAACGGCUCACCAAACCUUUGACCGGUACGGGCCGUGAGAGCGGUAGCCCGGAGAUGGACACUGAGACAAGGGUCCAGGACCUACGGGUCGCAGCCGGUACGAAACCUCCACAAUGCACGCAAGUGCGAUGGGGUUACCUCGAGUGCCGCCUGAAGAAGGCGGCUUUUCCAUUGUGUAAUGAGCCGUGGGAAUAAGGGGGGGGCAAGACUGGUGUCAGCCGCCGCGGUAACACCAGCCCCCCGAGUGGUGGGGAUGUUUAUUUGGCCUAAAACGUCCGUAGCCAGCUAGGUAAAUCUCUCGUUAAAUCCAGCGUCCUAAGCGUUGGGCCGCGAGAGAGACUGCCAAGCUAGAGGGUGGGAGAGGUCAGCGGUAUUUCUGGGGUAGGGGCGAAAUCCAUUGAUCCCAGGAGGACCACCAGUGGCGAAGGCUGCUGACUAGAACACGCCUGACGGUGAGGGACGAAAGCUGGGGUAGCGAAUCGGAUUAGAUACCCGAGUAGUCCCAGCCGUAAACGAUGCAGGCUAGGUGUUGGGUUGGCCACGUGCCGACUCAGUGCCACAGGGAAGCCAUUAAGCCUGCUGCCUGGGGAGUACGGUCGCAAGGCUGAAACUUAAAGGAAUUGGCGGGAGAGCACCACCAGGCGUGAAGCCUGCGGUUUAAUUGGAUUCAACGCCGGG
rnacentral:rRNA from 1 species